UAGGACCAUGGCUUGCCUACGAGAUCCAC
rnacentral:piRNA from 1 species